rnacentral:rRNA from 1 species
AUACGUAGGGGGCGAGCGUUGUCCGGAAUUACUGGGCGUAAAGGGUGCGUAGGUGGCACUUUAAGUUGGAUGUGAAAUCCCCGUGCUUAACAUGGGAGCUGCAUCCAAUACUGGAGAGCUAGAGUGCAGGAGAGGUAAGCGGAAUUCCUAGUGUAGCGGUGAAAUGCGUAGAUAUUAGGAGGAACACCAGUGGCGAAGGCGGCUUGCUGGACUGUAACUGACACUGAGGCACGAAAUGAUGGGGAGCAAACAGGAUUAGAUACCCUGGUAGUCCACGCUGUAAACGAUGAAUACUAGGUGUAGGGGGUAUCAACUCCCUCUGUGCCGCAGCAAACGCAAUAAGUAUUCCGCCUGGGGAGUACGGCCGCAAGGUUGAAACUCAAAUGAAUUGGCGGGG